rnacentral:rRNA from 1 species
UAGUCCACGCCGUAAACGAUGAGAACUAGCCGUUGGAACUGUUAUGGUUUUAGUGGCGCAGCUAACGCGUUAAGUUCUCCGCCUGGGGAGUACGGUCGCAAGAUUAAAACUCAAAUGAAUUGACGGGGGCCCGCACAAGCAGUGGAGCAUGUGGUUUAAUUCGAAGCAGCGCGCAGAACCUUACCACCACUUGACAUUACCAUCGCGAUUUCCGGAGACGGAUUUCUUCAGUUCGGCUGGAUGGAUAACAGGUGCUGCAUGGCUGUCGUCAGCUCGUGUCGUGAGAUGUUGGGUUAAGUCCCGCAACGAGCGCAACCCUCGCCUUUAGUUGCCAGCAGUUCGGCUGGGCACUCUAGAGGAACCGCCGGUGAUAAGCCGGAGGAAGGUGGGGAUGACGUCAAGUCCUCAUGGCCCUUACGUGUGGGCUACACACGUGCUACAAUGGCAGUGACAAUGGGUUAAUCCCAAAAAGCUGUCUCAGUUCGGAUUGUCGGCUGCAACUCG